UUGCUAGUGGGCGACGAGUGGCGGACGGGUGAGUAACGCGUAGGAAUCUACCUAUCAGUGGGGGAUAGCCAAGGGAAACUUUGGGUAAUACCGCAUACGAUCUAAGGAUGAAAGGGGGCCUCUCUUUGAAGCUCUCGCUGAUAGAUGAGCCUGCGUAAGAUUAGCUUGUUGGUGAGGUAAUGGCUCACCAAGGCGACGAUCUUUAGCUGGUCUGAGAGGAUGAUCAGUCACACUGGAACUGAGACACGGUCCAGACUCCUACGGGAGGCAGCAGUCGGGAAUAUUGGACAAUGGGGGAAACCCUGAUCCAGCCAUGCCGCGUGUGUGAAGAAGGCCCUAGGGUUGUAAAGCACUUUUAGUAGUGAGGAAGGCUCAGUAGUUAAUACCUACUGGGAUUGACGUUAGCUACAGAAAAAGCACCGGCUAAUUUCGUGCCAGCAGCCGCGGUAAUACGAAAGGUGCAAGCGUUAAUCGGAAUUACUGGGCGUAAAGCGCGCGUAGGCGGCUUGGUAAGUUGGAUGUGAAAGCCCCGGGCUCAACCUGGGAAAUGCAUCCAAAACUGGCAAGCUAGAGUAUGGUA
rnacentral:rRNA from 1 species